GGGCCCGCACAAGCGGUGGAGCAUGUGGUUUAAUUCGAUGAUACGCGAGGAACCUUACCAGGACUUAAAUGUAAGUUGCAUGAUUCAGAAAUGAAUCUUUCUUCGGACUACUUACAAGGUGCUGCAUGGUUGUCGUCAGCUCGUGCCGUGAGGUGUCAGGUUAAGUCCUAUAACGAGCGCAACCCCUGUCGUUAGUUACCAGCAAUUAAAGUUGGGUACUCUAGCGAGACUGCCGGUGCAAACCGUGAGGAAGGUGGGGAUGACGUCAAAUCAUCACGGCCCUUACGUCCUGGCUACACACGUGCUACAAUGGUCGGUACAGAGGGACGCCAACCCGCGAGGGGGAGCC
rnacentral:rRNA from 1 species